UCCGUGUUAACCACGGCAGUCUCUCUAGAGAGCCCAACUGAAUGCUGGCAACUAAAGAUAAGGGUUGCGCUCGUUGCGGGACUUAACCCAACAUGUCACCACACGAGCUGACGACAGCCAUGCAGCACCUGUCUUCCUGUCGUAUUGCUACGAAGACUGUAUCUCUACAGCUGUCAGGAGAUGUCAAACCCAGGUAAGGUUUUUCGCGUUGCUUCGAAUUAAACCACAUGAUCCACCGCUUGUGCGGGCCCCCGUCAAUUCCUUUGAGUUUUAGUCUUGCGACCGUACUUCCCAGGCGGGGUACUUAUUGCGUUAGCUGCGGCUCGGCAGGGGUCAAGACCCGCCAAGCCUAGUACCCAUCGUUUACGGCGUGGACUAC
rnacentral:misc_RNA from 1 species